UGGGGAAUUUUGGACAAUGGGCGAAAGCCUGAUCCAGCAAUGCCGCGUGUGUGAAGAAGGCCUUCGGGUUGUAAAGCACUUUUGUCCGGAAAGAAAUCCUUGGCUCUAAUACAGUCGGGGGAUGACGGUACCGGAAGAAUAAGCACCGGCUAACUACGUGCCAGCAGCCGCGGUAAUACGUAGGGUGCAAGCGUUAAUCGGAAUUACUGGGCGUAAAGCGUGCGCAGGCGGUUUGCUAAGACCGAUGUGAAAUCCCCGGGCUCAACCUGGGAACUGCAUUGGUGACUGGCAGGGCUAGAGUAUGGCAGAGGGGGGUUAGAAUUCCACGUGUAGCAGUGAAAUGCGUAGAGAUGUGGAGGAAUACCGAUGGCGAAGGCAGCCCCCUGGGCCAAUACUGACGCUCAUGCACGAAAGCGUGGGGAGCAAACAGGAUUAGAUACCCUGGUAGUCCACGCCCUAAACGAUGUCAACUAGUUGUGGGGAUUCAUUUCCUUAGUAACGUAGCUAACGCGUGAAGUUGACCGCCUGGGGAGUACGGUCGCAAGAUUAAAACUUAAAUGAAUUGACGGGGUC
rnacentral:rRNA from 1 species